rnacentral:rRNA from 1 species
CAGGAUGGACCCGCGUCUGAUUAGCUAGUUGGUAAGGUAACGGCUUACCAAGGCGACGAUCAGUAGCCGACCUGAGAGGGUGAUCGGCCACAUUGGAACUGAGACACGGUCCAAACUCCUACGGGAGGCAGCAGUGGGGAAUAUUGCACAAUGGGCGAAAGCCUGAUGCAGCAACGCCGCGUGAGUGAUGAAGGCCUUCGGGUCGUAAAACUCUGUCCUCAAGGAAGAUAAUGACGGUACUUGAGGAGGAAGCCCCGGCUAACUACGUGCCAGCAGCCGCGGUAAUACGUAGGGGGCUAGCGUUAUCCGGAUUUACUGGGCGUAAAGGGUGCGUAGGCGGUCUUUCAAGUCAGGAGUGAAAGGCUACGGCUCAACCGUAGUAAGCUCUUGAAACUGGGAGACUUGAGUGCAGGAGAGGAGAGUGGAAUUCCUAGUGUAGCGGUGAAAUGCGUAGAUAUUAGGAGGAACACCAGUUGCGAAGGCGGCUCUCUGGACUGUAACUGACGCUGAGGCACGAAAGCGUGGGGAGCAAACAGGAUUAGAUACCCUGGUAGUCCACGCUGUAAACGAUGAGUACUAGGUGUCGGGGGUUACCCCC